rnacentral:rRNA from 1 species
UACGGGGGGGGCAAGCGUUGUUCGGAAUUACUGGGCGUAAAGGGCUCGUAGGCGGCCAACUAAGUCAGACGUGAAAUCCCUCGGCUUAACCGGGGAACUGCAUCUGAUACUGGAUGGCUUGAGUUCGGGAGAGGGAUGCGGAAUUCCCGGUGUAGCGGUGGAAUGCGUAGAGAUCGGGAAGAACAUCAGUGGCGAAGGCGGUCUGCUGGGCCGUUGCUGACGCUGAGGCGCGACAGCGUGGGGAGCAAACAGG